rnacentral:rRNA from 1 species
CCCUUAGAUGUUCUGGGCCGCACGCGUGCUACACUGAGUGGAUCAGCGGGUCAGGUUGCGCGAAAGCGUUUCCUAAUCUUUAAAUCCGCUCGUGAUGGGGAUUGACGGUUGCAAUUUUCUGUCAUGAACGAGGAAUACCUUGUAAGCGCGGGUCAUCAUCCCGCGCUGAAUACGUCCCUGCCCUUUGUACACCCCGCCCGUCGCUCCUACCGAUUGAGUGGUCCGGUGAGGCUUUGGGAUCUGAGCGGAAAGAGCGUUUCGCUGUUUCUGCUCGGAAAACUCAGUCGAACCUUAUCAUUUAGAGGAAGGAGAAGUCGUAACA